AUUGAACGCUGGCGGCAGGCCUAACACAUGCAAGUCGAGCGAGCGGAGGACGGGUGAGCAAUGUAUGUGGAUCUUCCUGAUGGCGGGGGAUAACUACUGGAAACUGUAGCUAAUACCGCCUACCUUCCCCUGAACCCAUAUGGGAUUAGCUAGUAGGUAGGGUAACGGCUUACCUAGGCGACGAUCCCUAGCGGGUCUGAGAGGAUGAUAAGCCACAAGGGGACUGAGAAACGGCCCAGACUCCUACGGGAGGCAGCAGUGGGGAAGAUUGCACAAUGGGCGAAAGCCUGAUGCAGCCAUGCCGCGUGUAUGAAGAAGGCCUUCGGGUUGUAAAGUACUUUAAGUCGGGAGGCGUUACCAACAGAAGAAGCACCGGCUAACUCCGUGCCAGCAGCCGCGGUAAUAC
rnacentral:rRNA from 1 species